rnacentral:rRNA from 1 species
UACAGAGGUCUCAAGCGUUGUUCGGAUUCAUUGGGCGUAAAGGGCGCGUAGGUGGCCUGUGGAAGUCUGCGGUGAAAGCCCGGCGCUCAACGCCGGGUCGGCCGUGGAUACUCUCGGGCUUGAGCUUACUAGAGGCAGAUGGAAUUCCGGGUGUAGCGGUGGAAUGCGUAGAGAUCCGGAAGAACACCGGUGGCGAAGGCGGUCUGCUGGGGUAAUGCUGACACUGAGGCGCGACAGCGUGGGGAGCAAACAGG